rnacentral:rRNA from 1 species
GAUAAACGCUGGCGGCGCACAUAAGACAUGCAAGUCGAACGAACUUAACUCAUUCUUUUAGUUUGAGAGCGGUUAGUGGCGGACUGGUGAGUAACACGUAAGCAACCUGCCUAUCAGAGGGGAAUAACAGUGAGAAAUCACUGCUAAUACCGCAUAUGCUCACAGUACCACAUGGUACAGUGAGGAAAGGAGCAAUCCGCUGAUAGAUGGGCUUGCGUCUGAUUAGCUAGUUGGUGGGGUAACGGCCUACCAAGGCAACGAUCAGUAGCCGGACUGAGAGGUUGAACGGCCACAUUGGGACUGAGAUACGGCCCAG